AAACAAAAACAUUUUUUUUCAACAACAACGACAAAAGAUAAAAUGGAACCAGGAAGAGAGAAACAGAAGCAAAUAUACCUGUAGCAAGUUUUCUCAUUAUUUCAUCAGUUCUCUCUCUCUCUCUCUCUCU
rnacentral:ribozyme from 14 species